rnacentral:rRNA from 1 species
UACGAAGGGGGCUAGCGUUGUUCGGAAUUACUGGGCGUAAAGCGCGCGUAGGCGGUUUUGCAAGCCAGAGGUGAAAUGCCUGAGCUCAACUUAGGAAUUGCCUUUGGGACUGCGAGGCUUUGAGGACUGGAGAGGUGAGUGGAAUUCCCAGUGUAGAGGUGAAAUUCGUAGAUAUUGGGAAGAACACCGGUGGCGAAGGCGGCUCACUGGCGCAUUACUGACGCUCAGGCGCGAUAGCGUGGGGAGCAAACAGG